rnacentral:rRNA from 1 species
AAUGAACGUUGGCGGCGUGGAUUAGGCAUGCAAGUUGAGCGAGAACCGGUUUCGGCCGGGGACAGCGGCGAACGGCGUAGUAAUGCAUCGGAACGUACCCUCUGGUCGGGGAUAGCUACGGGAAACUGUAGGUAAUACCCGAUGAUCUCUGCGGAGCAAAGGUGAGAUUCCGCCGGAGGAGCGGCUGAUGUGAUAUUAGCUAGUUGGUGGGGUAAUGGCCUACCAAGGCGAUGAUGUCUAGGGGGUGUGAGAGCAUGGCCCCCACGACCGGAACUGAGAUACUGUCCGGACACCUACGGGUGGCUGCAGUCGAGAAUCUUCCGCAAUGGACGAAAGUCUGACGGAGCGACGCCGCGUGCGGGAUGAAGGCCCUUGGGUUGUAAACCGCUGUCAGAGGGGAUGAAAUCUUCGGAGGUACUCCUCCGAAGUUGACAGAGCCUCAAAGGAAGCACGGGCUAAGUACGUGCCAGCCGCCGCCGUAAGAC